CCUACGGGGGGCUGCAGUGGGGGAUAUUGGUCAAUGGGGGGAACCCUGAACCAGCGACACCGCGUGAGGGAAGAAGGUUUUCGGAUUGUAAACCUCUGUUGUCGGGGAAGAUAAUGACGGUACCCGAUGAGGAAGCCACGGCUAACUACGUGCCAGCAGCCGCGGUAAUACGUAGGUGGCAAGCGUUGUCCGGAAUUACUGGGUGUAAAGGGAGCGUAGGCGGGAAGGCAAGUUGAAUGUUAAAUCUAUCGGCUCAACCGAUAGCCGCGUUCAAAACUGUCUUUCUUGAGUGAAGUAGAGGCAAGCAGAAUUCCUAGUGUAGCGGUGAAAUGCGUAGAGAUUAGGAGGAAUACCAGUGGCGAAGGCGGCUUGCUGGGCUUUUACUGACGCUGAGGCUCGAAAGUGUGGGGAGCAAACAGGAUUAGAUACCCCGGUAGUC
rnacentral:rRNA from 1 species